rnacentral:rRNA from 1 species
GAUGAACGCUGGCGGCGUGCCUAAUACAUGCAAGUCGAGCGAACAGAUGAGGAGCUUGCUCCUCUGACGUUAGCGGCGGACGGGUGAGUAACACGUGGAUAACCUACCUAUAAGACUGGGAUAACUUCGGGACACCGGAGCUAAUACCGGAUAAUAUAUUGAACCGCAUGGUUCAAUAGUGAAAGACGGUUUUGCUGUCACUUAUAGAUGGAUCCGCGCCGCAUUAGCUAGUUGGUAAGGUAACGGCUUACCAAGGCAACGAGGCGUAGCCGACCUGGGAGGGUGAUCGGCCGCACGGGAACUGGGACACGGUCCAGACUCCUACGGGAGGCAGCAGUAGGGAAUCUUCCGCAGUGGGCGGAAGCCUUACGGAGCGGCGCCGCGUGAGUGAUGAAGGUCUUCGGAUCGUAAAGCUCUGUUAUGAGGGAAGAACAAAUGUGUAAUUAACUAUGCACGUCUUGACGGUACCGAGUCAGAAAGCAACGGCUAACUACGUG